GUGAGGCGCGCCUAGGGUUCCGCCGCGGUGAGCGGGCUGGUCCGAGAGACGCAGGUGCCCGCGUGCGGGCGCUCCACGGCGGGAUAAAAGCCCGGGAGAA
rnacentral:sRNA from 2 species